rnacentral:rRNA from 1 species
AACUCAAAGGAAUUGACGGGGGCCCGCACAAGCGGAGGAGCAUGUGGUUUAAUUCGAUGAUACGCGAGGAACCUUACCUGGGCUUAAAUGCUUAAUGACGUACUGGGAAACUGGUAUUUCUUCGGACAUUUUGCAAGGUGCUGCAUGGUUGUCGUCAGCUCGUACCGUGAGGUGUCGGGUUAAGUCCCAUAACGAGCGCAACCCCUAUUGUUAGUUGCCAUCAGGUCAUGCUGGGGACUCUAACAAAACUGCCCGCGUAAGCGUGGAGGAAGGUGGGGAUGACGUCAAAUCAGCACGGCCCUUACGUCCAGGGCUACACACGUGCUACAAUGGCCGGUACAGAGGGCAGCCACUUGGUGACAAGGAGCAAAUCUCAAAAGCCGGUCUCAGUUCGGAUCGGAGUCUGCAACUCGACUCCGUGAAGUUGGAUUCGCUAGUAAUCGUAGAUCAGCAAUGCUACGGUGAAUACGUUCCCGGGCCUU